rnacentral:rRNA from 1 species
UAGCAUAUCAAUAAGCGGAGGAAAAGAAACCAACAGGGAUUGCCUUAGUAACUGCGAGUGAAGCGGCAAAAGCUCAAAUUUGAAAUCUGGCAUCUUUGGUGUCCGAGUUGUAAUUUGGAGAGACAUCUUCGGUUUGAACGCCGUUCGAAGUUCCUUGGAACAGGACGUCACAGAGGGUGAGAAUCCCGUAUGUGGAUGGCUGUUUCAUUCCAUGUGAAGUGUCUUCGACGAGUCGAGUUGUUUGGGAAUGCAGCUCAAAAUGGGUGGUAAAUGUCAUCUAAAGCUAAAUACUGGCGAGAGACCGAUAGCGCACAAGUAGAGUGAUCGAAAGAUGAAAAGCACUUUGAAAAGAGAGUUAAAAAGUACGUGAAAUUGUUGAAAGGGAAGCGCUUAAGACCAGACUCAAUCUGUGGUGAUCAAUGGUGCUUCUGUACCAUGUACUUGCCACUCUUUGGGACAGCAUCGGUUUGGAUGGUCGGAUAAAGACUUGGGGAAUGUAGCUCUCUUCGGGGAGUGUUAUAGUCUCAGGUGUAAUGCGAUCAAUCCAGACCGAGGACCGCGCUUCGGCUAGGAUGCUGUCAUAAUGGUCUUUAGCGACCCGUCUUGAAACACGGACCAAGGAGUCUAACAACUAUGCGAGUGUUCGGGUGGAAAACCCUUGCGCGUAAUGAAAGUGAACGGAGAUGGGAACCUUUUAGGGGCACCAUCGACCGAUCCUGAUGUCUUCGGAUGGAUUUGAGUACGAGCAUAGCUGUUGGGACCCGAAAGAUGGUGAACUAUGCCUGAAUAGGGUGAAGCCAGAGGAAACUCUGGUGGAGGCUCGCAGCGGUUCUGACGUGCAAA